rnacentral:rRNA from 1 species
GAUGAACGCUGGCGGCGUGCCUAAUACAUGCAAGUCGAGCGAAUGGAUUAAGAGCUUGCUCUUAUGAAGUUAGCGGCGGACGGGUGAGUAACACGUGGGUAACCUGCCCAUAAGACUGGGAUAACUCCGGGAAACCGGGGCUAAUACCGGAUAACAUUUUGAACCGCAUGGUCCGGCAUGGAAAGGCGGCUUCGGCUGUCACUUAUGGAUGGACCCGCGUCGCAUUAGCUAGUCGGUGAGGUAACGGCCCACCAAGGCAACGAUGCCUAGCCGACCUGAGAGGGUGAUCGGCCACACUGGGACUGAGACACGGCCCAGACUCCUACGGGAGGCAGCAGUAGGGAAUCUUCCGCAAUGGACGAAAGUCUGACGGAGCAACGCCGCGUGAGUGAUGAAGGCUUUCGGGUCGUAAAACUCUGUUGUUAGGGAAGAACAAGUGCUAGUUGAUUAAGCUGGCACCUUGACGGUACCUAACCAGAAAGCCACGGCUAACUACGUGCCAGCAGCCGCCGUAA